GAUGAACGCUGGCGGCGUGCCUAAUACAUGCAAGUCGAGCUAACAGACGAGGAGCUUGCUCCUCUGACGUUAGCGGCGGACGGGUGAGUAACACGUGGAUCACCUACCUAUAAGACUGGGAUAACUUCGGGAAACCGGAGCUCAUACCGGAUAAUAUAUUGAACCGCAUGGUUCAAUAGUGAAAGACGGUUUUGCUGUCACUUAUAGAUGGAUCCGCGCCGCAUUAGCUAGUUGGUAAGGUAACGGCUUACCAAGGCGACGAUGCGUAGCCGACCUGAGAGGGUGAUCGGCCACCCUGUAACUCAGACACGGUCCAGACCCCUACGGGAGGCACCAUUAGGGAAUCUUCCGCAAUGAGCGAAAGCCUGACGGAGCAACGCCGCUUGAGUGAUGAAGGUCUUCGGAUCGUAAAACUCUGUUAUUAGGGAAGAACAAAUGUGUAAGUAACUAUGCACGUCUUGACGGUACCUAAUCAGAGAGCCACGGCUAACUACGGG
rnacentral:rRNA from 1 species